rnacentral:tRNA from 1 species
GGGCACGUAGCUCAGUCUGGAUAGAGCGUCGGACUUCUAUCCCUGUCAGCGUCUCGCUGGGAGGGGAAGACAUCCGACGGCCGUGGGUUCAAAUCCCAUCGUGCUCG